rnacentral:rRNA from 1 species
AGUGAACGCUGGCGGUAGGCCUAACACAUGCAAGUCGAACGGCAGCACAGUAAGAGCUUGCUCUUACGGGUGGCGAGUGGCGGACGGGUGAGGAAUACAUCGGAAUCUACUUUUUCGUGGGGGAUAACGUAGGGAAACUUACGCUAAUACCGCAUACGACCUACGGGUGAAAGCAGGGGAUCUUCGGACCUUGCGCGAUUGAAUGAGCCGAUGUCGGAUUAGCUAGUUGGCGGGGUAAAGGCCCACCAAGGCGACGAUCCGUAGCUGGUCUGAGAGGAUGAUCAGACACACUGGAAGUGAGACACGGUCCAGACUCCGACGGGAGGAAGCAGUGGGGAAUAUUGGACAAUGGGCGAAAGCCUGAUCCAGCCAUACCGCGUGGGUGAAGAAGGCCUUCGGGUUGUAAAGCCCUUUUGUUGGGAAAGAAAAGCAGCAGGUUAAUACCCCGCUGUUCUGACGGUACCCAAAGAAUAAGCACCGGCUAACUUCGUG